GGUUUUUCAACUUAGCGGCUGGGAGUACAUAUAUGUCGCCGGGAAGAAGUCCGUUAAAAGAAGAGGAUACACCACCAGGACUGUUGUGCAGACCGGUGGGGUUGUGCCUUGAUAGAAAGUGUCAAUUUGACAGAGCUAAAUUCGUUAUUGGCCGGGUGCUGGAACUCAACUAAUUCCACAAAGUCUGGCCUGUCAGAGAACACAAUAGACAACUGGCUACAAAGGUGGCACCAACAGACACCAAGGAGAGGAUAGCAAAGUCAAGUGCAAGAAGUGUUACUGUGACAGAAACACCAGCUUUAU